rnacentral:rRNA from 1 species
GUCUUUUAGUAUUUAAUUAAAAGUUUAACCUGCCCAUUGAUUUUUUUUUAAAAGGCUGCGGUAUUUUGACCGUACAAAGGUAGCAUAAUCAUUAGUUUUUUAAUUGGAAACUAGAAUGAAUGGUUGAAUGAAAUAUUAACUGUUUUAAUUAAAAAUUUUAGAAUUUUACUUUUUAAUUAAAAGGUUUAAAUAAAUUUAAAAGACGAGAAGACCCUAUAGAAUUUUAUAUUAAUUAUUAUGUAAUAAAUUAAGAUAAAUUUUUAUUAUUUAUAUAUGUAAUAUUUUAUUGGGGUGAUAAUAAAAAUUUAUAAACUUUUAUUUAUUUAAACAUUAAUAUAUGAUUUUUUGAUCCAUUAAUAAUGAUUAUAAGUUUAAAUUACCUUAGGGAUAACAGCGUAAUUUUUUUUUAAGUUCUUAUUAAUAAAAAAGUUUGCGACCUCGAUGUUGGAUUAAGAUUAAUUUUAGGUGCAAAAGUUUAAAAUUUUAAGUCUGUUCGACUUUUAAAUUCUU